rnacentral:lncRNA from 1 species
AAAAGUCGAAAGAUCUCUUUAGUAGAAGUGAAGUUGGAUAUAUGAGGAUUAAGAAAAUGUCAACCACCCAGAGCAUUUUGCGUUUCAAGCGAGAAAUCUUCAUUUGAAGUUGACGUCUUUUUCCCAUGUAUUUCCAGUGGACCAGUGAUUCUCGACCCAUUUUCCGCCCACUUUCUACCCAAAUUUUAAGUAGUUUUGAGCGAAAAUUUGAAAAGGAACCAUCAUUUUGAGUCAGGAAUAUCAUGAAGAUGACAAACAUCCAAAAACAAUAUUCAAAUAUCGAUUUGUGAAUUUUGGAUUUUUGUCCACAGAGGGCCGCACUGUGCGACGGGGAGAUCGUUGGCAGGACUCUUUAACUCAUGAGCCCUGUCCACAACGCUCUCUUGUCAUGCCCGCGGCUCAUAAAUCCCACAUUUAGUUGGCACAUAGGUCUGUAUGAUAGAAUGUAAAAUCCCGCUUUUCCAAUUCUUCAAAAGGAAUCACGCCCACUUUUACAUUGCUUCUUAUGCAACUUUCUAGAGCACACCCCAUAUUUCUCACCUCUACAUAUAGGUCUGUUUGGUAGAAAUACGUCCAAUUUUUUAUCUUUCUCCUCGGCAGCGGGGCGAUUAUUGAAACUGAUGGACAAAGCGAUAGACAAAGAAGACAUAGGGAGCACGAAGCGAUCUUAUUGGUUGACAUGGUUGGUUCUUAUAGACUAAGGAAGAAAAUGAUGGACUAACUGUCGGGUCUUUAGUGGGUUGCCAUUAGUUACUCCAUUACCUACCUCCUAUGUCCAUUGCUACCACCUGCUUCCACCAAUAGGAUCCCUCCAAAUCCCUUUUGUCGUCUUUGUCUAUAGCUUUGUCUAUCAGUUUCAAUAAUCGGCCCGCAGGAAGGGGGUGGUUUUACCUGCUCUUGCCGGGGUGGUCGAUGUCGUGGGUGGCGGCGGCGAUGAGGCAGCAGGCUUCGUCGAGGCCGUCCAGGUGCCGCUUGAUGUGCUCGCGCUCGAGGAAGACGGCCGUGGCCUGGAGGACGUCGGCGGCGUGGGUGGAGUUGUGGUAGGUGUUGUGCGAGUGGUAGUGGGUGGAGCGGAGCCCGGGGGGCCCGCCCCCGCUGCUCGGCACGAGCGUCUGACUCUUGACCGCGGCCGAGUCGUUGGAGCUCCGACGCGUGGUCGACACCGGCGCCGGCCCCUGCGAGAUGAGCGCUCCGAUCAGGUCCGACGUCACCGGGUCGUCGCACCGGAUGUUGUCCGCCUUCAGGUGGGAUGAGUACAACUCCGUCGUCCGCAGGAUGUCCAUCACCUGUCCACAAUCAGGUUUCAAACAUACGUAGAUCAAAUCCAUACAGUCAAGCAAUCAUGGGGCAGAAAUAAACAGUGGGAGGGGCUUUCAAGA